rnacentral:lncRNA from 1 species
CUUUUUUUCACUGUCCAAAGGGUUCUGGUUGAGAUGAUGAACUAUAUAGUCACCCUAACUACCAUUCUAGUUCCUGCCACCUGGAUGCCUUCUGAUGCCUGAAUCUCCAACAUCUCCUUCAAUUACUUCAAUUACUCCUACCUUUCCAGAGCCUUCUUAGACUGAAAGCAAGGAAGCUCAGAAGUGUGGAAAAUUACAACCAAUCCAAGGUGGGAUCCACGGAUCAAUGUUCCAGCUCCCCCUACUUCACUGAAUAAGUCUAGGGAUGGGGUAUAACAAUGUGUCCUUUUGAUUAUUUUCCUGAAACAUGACAACACACACUUACAUUGGCUUUCCCUUUUUUCUCUUUCUUACUCUCCCUGCUUCCUCACUCCUUCUUUCUGGAAUACCUCUCAAAUAAAC